GAUGAACGCUGGCGGCGUGCCUAAUACAUGCAAGUCGAGCGAACAGAUGAGGAGCUUGCUCCUCUGACGUUAGCGGCGGACGUGUGAGUAACACGUGGAUAACCUACCUAUCAGACUGGGAUAACUUCGGGAAACCGGAUCUAAUACCGUAUAAUAUCUUGCACCGCAUGGUUCAUUAGUGAAAGACGGUUUUGCUGUCACUUCUCGAUGGAUCCGCGCCGCAUUAGCUAGUUGGUAAGGUAACGGCUUACCAAGGCAACGAUGCGUAGCCGACCUGAGAGGGUGAUCGGCCACACUGGAACGGAGACACGGUCAAGACUCCUAAGGGAGGCAGCAGUAGGGAAUCGUACGCAAUGGGCGAAAGCAUGACGGAGCAACGCCGCGUGAGUGAUGAAGGUCUUCGGAGCGUAAAACUCGGUUAUUAGGGAAGAACAAAUGUGUAAGUAACUAUGCACGGAUUGACGGUACCUAAUCAGAAAGCCACGGCUAACUACGUG
rnacentral:rRNA from 1 species